rnacentral:rRNA from 1 species
AUUGAACGCUGGCGGCAGGCCUAACACAUGCAAGUCGAACGGUAACAGGAAACAGCUUGCUGUUUCGCUGACGAGUGGCGGACGGGUGAGUAAUGUCUGGGAAACUGCCUGAUGGAGGGGGAUACCUACUGGAAACGGUAGCUAAUACCGCAUAACGUCGCAGGACCAAAGAGGGGGACCCUCGGGCCUCUUGCCAUCGGAUGUGCCCAGAUGGGAUUAGCUUGUUGGUGGGGUAACGGCUCACCAAGGCGACGAUCCCUAGCUGGUCUGAGAGGAUGACCAGCCACACUGGAACUGAGACACGGUCCAGACUCCUACGGGAGGCAGCAGUGGGGAAUAUUGCACAAUGGGCGCAAGCCUGAUGCAGCCAUGCCGCGUGUAUGAAGAAGGCCUUCGGGUUGUAAAGUACUUUCAGCGGGGAGGAAGGGAGUAAAGUUAAUACCUUUGCUCAUUGACGUUACCCGCAGAAGAAGCACCGGCUAACUCCGUG